UNAAAGAGAUAGGAGUUGAACCU
rnacentral:tRNA from 1 species